AAGAGACAGCAGUAGCCGCGGUAAUACAGAGGGUGCGAGCGUUAAUCGGAUUUACUGGGCGUAAAGCGCGCGUAGGCGGCUUCUUAAGUCGGAUGUGAAAUCCCUGAGCUUAACUUAGGAAUUGCAUUCGAUACUGGGAAGCUAGAGUAUGGGAGAGGAUGGUAGAAUUCCAGGUGUAGCGGUGAAAUGCGUAGAGAUCUGGAGGAAUACCGAUGGCGAAGGCAGCCAUCUGGCCUAAUACUGACGCUGAGGUACGAAAGCAUGGGGAGCAAACAGGAUUAGAUACCCCUGUAGUCCCUGUCUCUUAUAA
rnacentral:rRNA from 1 species